GACGAACGCUGGCGGCGUGCUUAACACAUGCAAGUCGAACGGAAAGGCCCCUUUGGGGGUACUCGAGUGGCGAACGGGUGCGUAACACGUGAGUAACCUGCCCUUGACUUCGGGAUAACUUCAGGAAACUGGGGCUAAUACCGGAUAGGAAUCCUUGCUGCAUGGUGGGGGUUGGAAAGCUUCGGCGGUUUUGGCUGGACUCGCGGCUUAUCAGCUUGUUGGUGGGGUAGUGGCUUACCAAGGCUUUGACGGGUAGCCGGCCUGAGAGGGCGACCGGCCACAUUGGGACUGAGAGACGGCCCAGACUCCUACGGGAGGCAGCAGUGGGGAAUAUUGCACAAUGGGCGGAAGCCUGAUGCAGCAGCGCCGCGUGCGGGAUGACGGCCUUCGGGUUGUAAACCGCUUUCAGCAGGGGCGAAGCUUGUGGUGACGGUACCUGCAGAAGAAGCACCGGCUAACUACGUG
rnacentral:rRNA from 1 species